rnacentral:rRNA from 1 species
GACGUAGGGGGCGAGCGUUGUCCGGAAUUACUGGGCGUAAAGAGCACGUAGGCGGGAACUUAAGUCAGGUGUGAAAGACCGGGGCUCAACUCCGGGGUGGCACUUGAAACUGGGUUUCUUGAGGGCAGGAGAGGGAAGCAGAAUUCCUGGUGUAGCGGUGAAAUGCGUAGAAAUCAGGAGGAAUACCAGUGGCGAAGGCGGCUUUCUGGACUGACCCUGACGCUGAGGUGCGAAAGCGUGGGUAGCAAACAGGAUUAGAUACCCUGGUAGUCCACGCUGUAAACGAUGGAUACUAGGUGUAGGAGGUAUCGACCCCUUCUGUGCCGCAGCUAACGCAAUAAGUAUCCCGCCUGGGGAGUACGAUCGCAAGGUUGAA